UUUUUUUCCCCUGUCCGUUUCUCCCACUUCCUCCCCGGUCGUGGGAGAGGUCCGGCGGGGGACAGGGAAGGGGGAGCAGGGCACGAGUGGUGAGAACGUCCUGGCCCGGCCCGGGGAGGGCUGGCUGGUGCGACCGCGCGCCUGGGGGGGGGGGGGAGGGCUCCAGGACUCAGUUUCCCCUUCCUCAUUCCUCCAGACAGAGAGAGUACUGACAGCUGCUUUAGCUGCCGUUUAGUGAGCGCUUAUCCAGUGGGUGACCCUGUUCCGGGGCUCACUGUGCCUUCAUUCUAACACCUAAUCCCAGGGUCAUUAUUAUGUUUUAUUAUUAUCUGGCAUUCUUAGUACCAACACCACCUGACAGCGGGAACCACCACCGGCCUGGGUGUAGUGUACCCAGCCUGUCCUCUGACUUCAAAGCCUCUCCUGCGAGAGACACAGUUUAUGGCUUCUUCGCACAAUUUAUUAAAAGCGCCUUUCAACACCCAAACGGGUUGGAUUGGCUUUUGUAAUAAUAAUCUGGCUACGAGGGGAAACCCGGGAGGGCCCCCCGGAGGGGAAGUGGACUGUCUCAGGACUCGCAGCCUGAAACCAGCCGGGUAGGUGGGAAGGGACCCAGGGAGGGGCCGCGUGGAUCUAGGGCGAGGGUGUCAUCCAGGGACUUUGCUCCAAGGACCCUGCCUGGGAUAGAAAUCCUUCUUCCUUCAACCACCGGCCAUCAGCCUCGGGACCAGGAGGCCACGCUGAAGCACGAUUCUUCCCAGAUCCCACUGUUGUGUUUGGAUUUCUGCAAAUGAUGCCCAGACGUUUUUUUUUGUUUUGUUUUUUUGUUUUUUGUUUUAGACAGACUUGCUCUGUCGCCCAGCCUGGAGUGCAAUGGCACGAUCUUGGCUUACUGCAAUCUCCGCCUCCCGGGUUCAAGCGAUUCCCCUGUUUUUUGUAUUUUUAGUAGAUACAGAGUUUUGCCAUGUUGGCAAGCCUGGUCUCAAACUCUUGACUUCAGGUGAUCCAACCACCUUGGCCUCCCAAAGGGCUGGGAUUACAGGCGUGAGCCACCGUGGCUGGCCUUGGUUUUUUUUGUUUGUUUGUUUUGUUUUUUGUUUUUUUAAUAGAGAUUUGGUGGGGCCGUGGGGGGGUCUUGCUAUGUUUCCCAGGUCUCAAACUCCUGGGCUUCAGUGUUCCUCCCACCUGAGCCUCCCACAGUGCUGAGAUGACAGGAAUGAACCAUCGUGCCAGCGAGACGCCCAGGCUCUAAGCUCUACAUGGUCUAACUUCCCCCACACCAGGAGCAGCAGGUGACUCAGUUUCCCCUCUUGUACCACCAGCCUCAGAUCCGAUCCUGCAGGAAAAGGAUCGAGAAAGCCCCACUCGGAUUCUCCAUGGUGAGAACCUGACUCAGAGGGGCAGGGGCUCCUCUGUGAGACGGGCAUGGACCCUAAUCCUCAUCGCAGCCCUGAGAAGAAGCAGAGACUACAAUUUCCACCAUACAGUUGGGGAAACUGAGGCCCAGAGAUGGACAAGGAGCAAGGAUGUUAAGUCCAGCAUUCGCGUGUCUCUGGACGCUGCCAGGGGGACCAAAGGGAGGUCCUUCAGGAAGUGCCAGGAUGUGGCACACCCCAAACCACGCCCCCCGCCCCUGUCAUGAAAACAGAACGAAGGGGACCCAAAGCUUCCUCCUGACCUCUGCCCUUCACUUCCUUUUUCCUCCCCCAACCAAAAAAAAAAAAAAAAAAAAAAAACCCGAGUUGAUACUAUUGAAAACCUAAUAAAGUAUAAAAGAUUGGGUUGCUGUGUGAUCUUGGGCAGGUUGCUUAACCUCUCUGAUCCUCAGACUCCUUUGGAGAGAAGAAUCGAUGCAACUUCCUAGUGUUGUGACAAGGGAGAAAUGAGACGGUGCAUGGAACGCUGAGACAGCACAACCCCUGCACCAGGGAGGUCUUCAUUACAUGAUAGGUGUGAUUAUAUUAUUAAUGUUUGAGUCACGCCUAUUAUUUUUGUCUCUGUGUAGCCAGGGGUUUUCUGUUUGUCUGUUUGUUUGUUUGUUUAUUUGUUUGUGAGACAGAGGUUCACUCUUAUUGCCCAGGCUGGAGUGUAAUGGCACGAUCUCGGCUCACCACAACCUCUGCCUCUCAGGUUCAAGCGAUUUUCCUGCCUCAACCUCCCAAGUAGCUGGGAUUACAGGCAUACGCC
rnacentral:lncRNA from 1 species